AGAUCCAUCCUGAUUCCUUUUAUCUCUCACUCUUUUUUCUCCCUUUUGUUCUACCCAGUUAUGUGGAGGGUUUCUUGCCUUUUUUGGAGGUUUAAGGUCUUCCGGUGUUCAGUAGAUGUUCUGUGUGAAUCGUUCUACAUGUAGAUGUGCUUUUUUUUUUUUUUUUUUUGAUGUGUUUGUGGGAGAAAAUGAGCAAGACCUCUUACUCCUCUGCCAUCUUGAUCCUUCUAUCAAAUUUUAUUUUCUUAAAAGGAUUGUCAAAGAAAACAACACAGGAUUCCAGGCAGACCUUCAACUGCUCACCCACUGACAGGUGCUCAGGUAUCCCUCCCGCCACUUCCCUGUCCAUGCCCCAUCCAGAUCCUGCAGCGGGGUGACCACAGCCACCUUUGCAGAGGAGGGCGAGCUGCGCAUGUAAGCGCAUGUACGGUGGCAAGGACCGCCGCUCCCUCCUGCUGCGUGGCGUUCUGGCACGCCGGCUCCUAGGGUGCAAGGACUCCUGAGACCUGGAGGACGCCAAGGUUGUAUGCUGCCACCUGGGCAAUAGCCAGGCUGUGGGCACCCUGGUGGGGGCCACCUUUGGGCCAGGCUCUAGACCCAUGUGGCUGGAGGAGGUGGGGUGGCGGGGCAGCGAAUCACCCUUUGGAGCUGCCCCGCGCAGCCAUUUGGUCACGGAGACUGCCGGCACAAGCACAUGGAGGGCACUGCUCAGGUCCUUCUGUGGCCCUUUGACCUGCCCGCCAGGCCGAGACUCUGCCCAUGACUCUCAGUGUGGUCCUCGGCACCCUCCUGGUUGUCAUCUCACUGGUCCUGGGAGCACGGUGGUUCCAGGGCAGAGGAGCCUGCAGGGGUUCCGGAACGUUGGGGAGUCUGCCCUCGGAAGGUGUUUAUGAGGUCUUUGGAGCUGUCCCCAUGGGGGUAAAGGACGAUGGGCUCAGAGUGUCCAGGGCCCUGGAGCUGGAGGAGGAGUAUGAUGACGCAGAGGAGCCCCUGCUCAGCCCUGAGGAGAGGGAAGCGGAGGAGGGGGCCCCCCUGACCAACGCAGGUGUGCACCUCUGCGCCUUGGCAUCCCUGGUGCUUUUCCUGCUGUACUGCUCCUACGCCCAAGGCUUUUCUCUGGCCAGCCCCUACAUCUAAAGAUCCUCAAAGUGCCUCUCUGUGUGUUUGUGACUCUCACUUCCAUCAUAGGCUUGGUGUUCAGAGUUUAGGGAGGUCCUAGAUUUUUAUGUGGGUUUCUUUCUGUGAUUGCGCUUGUCCCUCCAGUGCCAUGUCCAGCGGCUGCAGGGGCCUGAGCAGACAGGUGGGCAGAGAUGUGCAUGCAGCAGCACACUGUCGGCUCGCUCCAUCCAGUCCUUGACCAAGCCUCCAGCCUCACCGUGCGGCAAGAAGCCAGGGCCCAGAAUUCCUGAGGAAUUGCUGAGGGUCCCCAAUGUGUGUCUCUGUCCUUAAACAGAGGUGGGGCUCCUCACAGCUCAGGCUGGGAAGGACGAACAGGGCAGCCUCUGCCCCAGGACAUGCUGACCAUGAGCCAACCACAGGGACCUCCGCAAGACCAGAGGGUGGGGCUUUCAUUUUCCUCAAUUCUUCAAGAGAUUUAUUGUAUCA
rnacentral:lncRNA from 1 species